GACGAACGCUGGCGGCGUGCUUAACACAUGCAAGUCGAACGGAAAGGCCCUGCUUUUGUGGGGUGCUCGAGUGGCGAACGGGUGAGUAACACGUGAGUAACCUGCCCUUGACUUUGGGAUAACUUCAGGAAACUGGGGCUAAUACCGGAUAGGAGCUCCUGCUGCAUGGUGGGGGUUGGAAAGUUUCGGCGGUUGGGGAUGGACUCGCGGCUUAUCAGCUUGUUGGUGGGGUAGUGGCUUACCAAGGCCUUGACGGGUAGCCGGGCUGAGAGGGUGACCGGCCCAGUUGGGCCUGGGAUACGGCCCAGACUAGUACGGGAGGCAGCGGUGGGGAAUAUUGCACAAUGGGCGGAAGCCUGAUGCAGCCACGCCGCGUGCGGGAUGACGGCCUUCGGGUUGUAAACCGCUUUCGCCUGUGACGAAGCGUGAGUGACGGUAAUGGGUAAAGAAGCACCGGCUAACUACGUG
rnacentral:rRNA from 1 species